GGGUAUAUAGCUCAAGUGGUAGAGCACACGCUUAGCAUGCACAAGGUCUUGGGUUCAAUCCCCAAUACUGCCU
rnacentral:tRNA from 1 species